UCGACAGGCUGGCAACACUUUCGCUUUGCAUAAUGUUAACAGAGUGAGAGGCAGGGUUUAUCGAUAAUCUGACAGUUAUCGUAGUCAGCUUAAAGCGAUGGCUGUCUUAGGUUAAAGACGAAUUAAAUAUAAACAACUGCUUGGAGCGUUGAAUUGAAUAUUAAAUUAUGAGAGAAGAGGCGUGCCACUUAGCAGCAUCAUUUGAUGAACUGUCUGCGCGGCCAUAAGCCCCCAAAAGGACAUACGCAUUUCAAUUCCCCAAGCGCAGCUUAGCACCACAAUAAAAUGAAGUGCAGCAGUAAAAGGAAUAUGAAAAGAGCGACGACGACACGGACACAAUGGGGAAGGAGCGAAGGGGAGAAUGCUGUGUAAGUGCGUGGAGCAUAAAGUAUGCGCCGCAAGUGAUAAGCCAAAAGCAAAAUGGACACCGAAAGCCUCACUAGUCAAUAUGCUAAAGGUCAUGGGAGGAUGCCAAAAAUAUUACAACUACGACAACAAACAAGGGCAACGACUACAAGCUGAACUGGAGCUGGAGCUGGAGCUGGCAAUGAAGCUGGAAGCAGCGGGAGCUUAGUGGCAACAACAAGAAGCAUAACCUAAGGCAGGCCAAGGAUAUUGGGGCGUUCACGAAAAAGUUAAACACACUUUAUGUUGGGGCCUGUGCCCGGGUCGGACAAAAAUGCCUGGCAUUGGAUUUGAGCGCCAAAACCACCGAAGCGACCAACAAAAAAAAUAUACGAAGCAACGGCAGAAAGGAAAGCAAACGAUGGCGGCCAAAAAAUGACGUGCCCAGGACGAUGGCGACAUGCCCGCCAGCAGUAAGCAGCAAAAGCAGCAGCAGCAGUUCAAGAAUAACAAGCACACUAAAGUCAGCUGCCAGCUCAAGGUUCAAGACCUUUACAUGAUAGUAGAUAGCAACAGCUUUAACAACAGUCUACGCCUCAAGCAAAUAUUUACUGGACAGCGCCGAAAUAAAAGAAAUCUUUUUUUCAAAUUAAAAACAAGUGAUAAACAACUGAAGCACAGGACUGGUUUUAAUACUUCACAUAAAAAUAUUGUUUAUCAUGCUGUUAAAUCAGAGGCAGUCACAAAAAAUUGAUUGGUUUUAUGUGGACUGUAAAUUUAAUCGAGCGAUAAUUAACUACCACUUUAGCUUGCACAUUAGAAACUGACUUUAAUGAUAAUCAAUUGUUGUUGUUUAUGAAGAAGUUAUUAAUAUUUCGUAUGAUAUUUACUUUAAUUUUAAUUAUCGAGUUUUAUAAAACCGUUAUACCCUUUUGCCGGGUAUAACAAAUAUUCGAGGGGAGACUCAGUUAUACGGAAGGAUGUCUUCGGUCUCUGAUGCUUGCCAGGCACGUAAGCAGUUGAUGCCUGCUCCCGUCUACCUACUGCCGUCUACCGUCUGCCCCCAACCUGCUGAAGGAGAUGAAGCAAAAAGAAAACUCCACAGGCCACAGUUUUUGGGAUGCUCGUCCUUUGUGCUGUGUCCUUGGGGUUGGUAAACACGGCACCAAAUUGCCGUUUAAAUUUCUCCCCAAUGUAUGUGGCUCCCAAAACGGGGAGCGGCCUUGAAACAUUAUGAUGACUACUGCCAGGAGUUACCUAUCUCCGAAAGAGGAAAAACAAUGCUGGAAACUUUAGAUUUGAAGUUGUGGUUGUCAGGCAAUGUGUCUGGAGACGUUAACUGCGACCUAUGCCUCCACCCUUUGGAGUCUGAGCCAUGUCAAAGGAUCGCAAAGCCGCCGCACUGUUUAAUGCGUCUGCAGAGCAAGGGUUCGUUGAGCUGUGGUCGCUUAACUAAUUAAACUUGUUUCAGGUACGAGGACAUGCAAAUAUUUUUAAGAGUCUACCCAAAACGCAUGUUAUGGCCAAAUUGCAAUGUGUUUCGACGAUGGAAACAUGAAAAAUGUAUUCCGGCACAUGCUAAACGACUAGAGAAUGCUCUUUCCCAAAACGGCAAAGUCCCUUGACAUCACGUCAAGUUCGCUCACUCAACUUGUCAGCUGUCUAGCGCAUUAAAACUAACUGCUAAAUUAUUGGGAAAGUAACCCAUCCAUCUCGGGGAUCUUAGGGCCUGCCAGGAUGCUGCCGGCGAUGUUCGUGUGUUCGUGUGGGGCAGGCAAAAAAUGAAGAAAAAUUGCGGCAUGUCAGUUAAAGGCACAACAACAAUAAAAAGGGACAAAACAGAGAAGAGAUGAACAUGAAGACAUUGUGUUGGGGACUGAAGUCGAGGCGAACACGCGCCAAAAGCAUCCAACAACAAUAUUAACAACAACAGGAACAGGAACAAGAACACGAAUAGAAACUGGCAGCAGAAGCUGAUGCUGCUGCCAGGACGAAAAUGUAAUAAGUGUGUCUAUUUGUUCGCAAAUAUUUCAUUUCCCGUGCCUUUAUUUCACAUUUCGCAUUUCGCCAUAAAGACACUCGUCUAACUCCCGCACAAAGCGUUCUUCGUUCCUGCGUUCGGCGAAAAAUGAGAAAACCCAGGAAGAGGAAAACGAACACGAAAACGAAAACUUAAUUUAACUUUAUGAUAACAAUGACCAAAUAUUUAGCUACCUAAUGUUCUUAAUAUUUUGUUAGCUAUUUCGAAAAGGUAACAGCGAUUAUCAUUUGCCGUAUGAAUGAUAACAAAGCAGAUGAGCUGCCAGGUAACCUCUAAUUAACUAGAUGUCUCUAUUAAGGAUACAUAUGAUAGAUUAGGUAAGGAAGUCGUAGUGAGGAAAUCCCCUGAAGGUGGCCAGGUCAACAAACUCAAAGUUGAGUAUCUUAAUAGAAAUUUUAAUGGUAUAUACUUGAAUGUUUUAUUUAGUUUCUUAAAAUGUAAUAACUGAAAGAGGCGAAUACAAAAUUUGUCAAAAAUUGUAUACCAAAUAAAAAUUUAAGUUGUUGGUUAA